CGGACGGGUGAGUGACGCGUGGGUAACCUGCCUCAUACAGGGGGAUAACAGUUAGAAAUGGCUGCUAAUACCGCAUAAGACCACAGUACUGCAUGGUACAGUGGUAAAAACUCCGGGGGUAUGAGAUGGACCCGCGUCUGAUUAGGUAGUUGGUGAGGUAACGGCCCACCAAGCCGACGAUCAGUAGCCGACCUGAGAGGGUGACCGGCCACAUUGGGACUGAGACACGGCCCAG
rnacentral:rRNA from 1 species